CCCUAACCGUGCAAAGGUAGCAUAAUCAUUUGCCUUUUAAUUGGAGGCUUGUAUGAAUGGUUUGACGAGGGCUAAGCUGUCUCUUUUAAAAUAUUUAGAAAUUAACUUUUAGGUGAAGAGGCCUAAAUUUGGCUGAGGGACAAGAAGACCCUGUUGAGCUUUAGUUUUAUGCUAAAUGGAUUAUUAUGAUAUUUGUAAUAAGCGUGGACCUAGGUGUAAUGGGAUUUUAGUAUGAAUCUUUAGUUGGGGCGACUGAGGAACAACUAGAGCUUCCUUUGGUUUAGAAGGGCAAGUAGUGUGCCGGAAAAUGGUGUAUUCUUGCAGGUUGUUUUGAUCCAGUAGAAUACUGAUUAAAGGAAAAAGUUACCACAGGGAUAACAGCGUAAUCUUUCUGGAGAGAUCUUAUCGAAAGGAGGGUUUGCGACCUCGAUGUUGGACUAA
rnacentral:rRNA from 1 species